rnacentral:rRNA from 1 species
GCUGACGAGUGGCGGACGGGUGAGUAAUGUCUGGGAAACUGCCUGAUGGAGGGGGAUAACUACUGGAAACGGUGGCUAAUACCGCAUAACGUCGCAAGACCAAAGAGGGGGACCUUCGGGCCUCUUGCCAUCAGAUGUGCCCAGAUGGGAUUAGCUUGUUGGUGAGGUAACGGCUCACCAAGGCGACGAUCCCUAGCUGGUCUGAGAGGAUGACCAGCCACACUGGAACUGAGACACGGUCCAGACUCCUACGGGAGGCAGCAGUGGGGAAUAUUGCACAAUGGGCGCAAGCCUGAUGCAGCCAUGCCGCGUGUAUGAAGAAGGCCUUCGGGUUGUAAAGUACUUUCAGCGGGGAGGAAGGUGUUGUGGUUAAUAACCGCAGCAAUUGACGUUACCCGCAGAAGAAGCACCGGCUAACUCCGUGCCAGCA